rnacentral:rRNA from 1 species
UGGGGAAUCUUGCACAAUGGGGGCAACCCUGAUGCAGCGACGCCGCGUGAGCGAUGAAGCCCUUCGGGGCGUAAAGCUCUUUCGACCGGAACGAUAAUGACGGUACCGGGAGAAGAAGCUGCGGCUAACUACGUGCCAGCAGCCGCGGUAAUACGUAGGCAGCAAGCGUUGUUCGGAGUUACUGGGCGUAAGAGUGCGUAGGCGGUUUUCUAAGUUCGGUGUGAAAUCUCCCGGCUUAACUGGGAGGGUGCGCCGAAGACUGGGAAGCUGGAGUGUGGGAAAGGCAGGCGGAAUUCCUGGUGUAGCGGCGAAAUGCGUAGAUAUCAGGAGGAACACCGGCGGUGUAGACAGCUUGCUAGACCAUAACUGACGCUGAGGCACGAAAGCGUGGGUAGCAAACA